rnacentral:misc_RNA from 1 species
GAUGAAGAACGCAGCGAAAUGCGAUAAGUAAUGUGAAUUGCAGAAUUCAGUGAAUCAUCGAAUCUUUGAACGCACAUUGCGCCCCUUGGUAUUCCGAGGGGCAUGCCUGUUCGAGCGUCAUUAUAACCCCUCAAGCUCAGCUUGGUGUUGGGGCCUGCUGCACUGGCAGCCCUUAAAAUCAGUGGCGGCGCCAUCUGGCUCUAAGCGUAGUAAUUCUUCUCGCUAUGGAGUCCUGGUGGAUGCUUGCCAUCAACCCCCAAUUUUUCUAUGGUUGACCUCGGAUCAAGUAGGGAUACCCGCUGAACUUAAGCAUAUCAAUAAGCGGAGGA